UACGUAGGGGGCUAGCGUUAUCCGGAAUUACUGGGCGUAAAGGGUGCGUAGGCGGUCUUUCAAGCCAGAAGUGAAAGGCUACGGCUCAACCGUAGUAAGCUCUUGAAACUGUAAGACUUGAGUGCAGGAGAGGAGAGUGGAAUUCCUAGUGUAGCGGUGAAAUGCGUAGAUAUUAGGAAGAACACCAGUGGCGAAGGCGGCUCUCUGGCCUUAUACAGACGCUGAGGUACGAAAGCGUGGGGAGCAAACAGGAUUAGAUACCCUGGUAGUCCCU
rnacentral:rRNA from 1 species